rnacentral:rRNA from 1 species
AGAGUUUGAUCCUGGCUCAGGACGAACGCUGGCGGCGCGCCUAACACAUGCAAGUCGAACGGGGUUAUACCGAAUGAAGUUUUCGGAUGGAAUUUGGUAUAACUUAGUGGCGGACGGGUGAGUAACACGUGAGCAACCUGCCUAUCAGAGGGGGAUAACGAUUGGAAACGAUCGCUAAUACCGCGUGACAUAGCGAAACCGCAUGGUUUUGCUAUCAAAGAUUUAUCGCUGAUAGAUGGGCUCGCGUCCGAUUAGAUAGUUGGUGAGGUAACGGCUCACCAAGUCGACGAUCGGUAGCCGGACUGAGAGGUCGAACGGCCACAUUGGGACUGAGACACGGCCCAGACUCCUACGGGAGGCAGCAGUGGGGGACAUUGCACAAUGGGGGAAACCCUGAUGCAGCGACGCCGCGUGAGGGAAGACGGUCCUCUGGAUUGUAAACCUCUGUCUUCGGGGACGAAAGAAGACGGUACCCGAGGAGGAAGCCACGGCUAACUACGUGCCAGCAGCCGCGGUAAUACGUAGGUGGCAAGCGUUGUCCGGAAUUACUGGGUGUAAAGGGAGCGUAGGCGGGCAGGCAAGUCAGGCGUGAAAUAUAUCGGCUCAACCGGUAUCUGCGCUUGAAACUGCAGGUCUUGAGUGAAGUAGAGGUUGGCGGAAUUCCUAGUGUAGCGGUGAAAUGCGUAGAUAUUAGGAGGAACACCAGUGGCGAAGGCGGCCAACUGGGCUUUUACUGACGCUGAGGCUCGAAAGUGUGGGGAGCAAACAGGAUUAGAUACCCUGUAGUCCACACCGUAAACGAUGAUUACUAGGUGUGGGGGGACUGACCCCUUCCGUGCC